CACGCAACAGCAAGUAGUAUUUUAACCUUCAAGACCAAAUGAAAGGUUUUCAAUGUCUAAAUCACACACGUUCACCUGCUAGUUUCUUCGCGAAGCUACUUACAUAGUCCUACACCGAUGCUUAUAAAAAUAAUAACAGCUUUUCGAUGAUCCUACGUCAUUAUUCUACGUCCCUGCUACUAAAGAAUUCAGUAAGAAUUCUCGCGCGCCUUAGAAUCGACGAAAUUCAAGUUCGUUGCUGUUACAGUAACUUGUCUAUACACGUUUUUUCAUGUUUUCAUCACGUAAAUAUGAUCGCGCGGAAGCAAAAGUGAAGCUGCCAACUUUUCCUCUAGUAGACAUCCAAAGAGAAAGAAUAACUAUAAAGGAUGUCUCACAUCGUUUGAUCCAAUAUUUAGAUUUGUCAUCGAAUGAAAACCAAAUCGAAUAAUCUCAUAGUAUAAUUGGCUAUCGAAAGGAA
rnacentral:misc_RNA from 1 species